UACACGCUGUGACUAGCAUAUCAAUAAGCGGAGGAAAAGAAACUAACAAGGAUUCCCCUAGUAACGGCGAGUGAAGCGGGAAGAGCUCAAAUUUGAAAUCUUAAAGGGUUUCCCUUUACGAAUUGUAGUUUAAAGAAGUGUUUUCUGUUGAGGUUUUGGUAAAAGUUCUUUGGAAUAGGACAUCAUAGAGGGUGAGAAUCCCGUAUUUGACCUUUACUUUCAACUUUGUGAUACACUUUCAAAGAGUCGGAUUGUUUGGGAAUGCAGUCCAAAAUGGGUGGUAAAUUUCAUCUAAAGCUAAAUAUUGGCGAGAGACCGAUAGCGAACAAGUACCGUGAGGGAAAGAUGAAAAGAACUUUGAAAAGAGAGUUAAACAGUACGUGAAAUUGUCAAAAGGGAAGCGUUUGACACCAGUGUUGUUUUUCUGAAAAUCAAUUAAAGAACUGUUUAUGCUAAGUUGUUUAGACUUUAUCAGCUAACUGUUUAGUUUUGAGCUUUUCUUUAAUGCACUUUUCAGUUAACAAGUCAACAUCAAUUUCUUUUGCUGUAAAAAAGCUUGAGGAAGGUGGCUUGAGAUUCGUCUUAAGUGUUUAUAGCCUCUUGCCUAUGCAGUCGGAGAGAUUGAGGUCUGCAGCGUAGAUCCUUCGGGGCUAAAUGCACUUUGUGCUAAGUUAUAGCAUUUUAUAGACAACUUGUUGACUAUGAUUUGUCUUGUAGCUUACUCGCUUAUGUUAUUUUACCUACGCUUAGGAUGUUGAAGAUGUAGCACAUCAU
rnacentral:rRNA from 1 species